rnacentral:rRNA from 1 species
UACGAGGGGGGCGAGCGUUGUUCGGAAUUAUUGGGCGUAAAGGGUGCGUAGGCGGUUUGGUAAGUCUUGUGUGAAAUCUCCAGGCUCAACUUGGAGUCUGCACGAGAAACUGCCGGGCUUGAGUGUGGGAGAGGUGAGUGGAAUUCCUGGUGUAGAGGUGAAAUUCGUAGAUAUCGGGAGGAACACCAGUGGCGAAGGCGGCGACCUGGGCCAAUAUUGACGCUGAGGUGCGAAAGCGUGGGGAGCAAACAGG